UACGGAGGGUGCAAGCGUUAUCCGGAUUUACUGGGUUUAAAGGGUGCGUAGGUGGGUUGGUAAGUCAGUGGUGAAAUACUUUCGCUUAACGGAGGAACUGCCAUUGAUACUACCAGUCUUGAAUACAGUGGAGGUAGGCGGAAUGCGUCAUGUAGCGGUGAAAUGCGUAGAUAUCUGGAGGAACACCGGUGGCGAAGGCGGCUUUCUGGACAGAUACCGACGCUGAGGCACGAAAGCUAGGGGAGCAAACAGG
rnacentral:rRNA from 1 species